GAUGAAGAACGCAGUGAAAUGCGAUAAGUAAUGUGAAUUGCAGAAUUCAGUGAAUCAUCGAAUCUUUGAACGCACAUUGCGCCCGCCAGUAUUCUGGCGGGCAUGCCUGUUCGAGCGUCAUUUCAACCAUCAAGCCCCCGGCUUGUGUUGGGGACCUGCGGCUGCCGCAGGCCCUGAAAACCAGUGUCGGGCUCGCUAGUCACUCCGAGCGUAGUAAUACAUCUCGCUCAGGGCGUGCUGCGGGUUCCGGCCGUUAAAAAGCCUUAUUUACCCAAGGUUGACCUCGGAUCAGGUAGGAAGACCCGCUGAACUUAAGCAUAUCAAUAAGCGGAGGA
rnacentral:misc_RNA from 1 species